rnacentral:rRNA from 1 species
AACGAACGCUGGCGGCAGGCUUAACACAUGCAAGUCGAACGCCCGUAGCAAUACGGGAGUGGCAGACGGGUGAGUAACGCGUGGGAAUCUCCCCAAAGGUACGGAACAACUCAGGGAAACUUGAGCUAAUACCGUAUGUGCCCGAGAGGGCAAAGAUUCAUCGCCUUUGGAUGAGCCCGCGUUGGAUUAGCUAGUUGGUGGGGUAAUGGCCUACCAAGGCGACGAUCCAUAGCUGAUCUGAGAGGAUGAUCAGCCACACUGGGACUGAGACACGGCCCAGACUCCUACGGGAGGCAGCAGUGGGGAAUCUUGGACAAUGGGCGAAAGCCUGAUCCAGCCAUGCCGCGUGAGUGAAGAAGGCCUUAGGGUUGUAAAGCUCUUUUGCCCGGGAAGAUAAUGACGGUACCGGGAGAAUAAGCCCCGGCAAACUUCGUGCCAGCAGCCGCGGUAAUACGAAGGGGGCUAGCGUUGUUCGGAUUUACUGGGCGUAAAGCGCACGUAGGCGGU